AUUUUGCCUUGCCCAUUGCAGACGGAAUCACCAGUGGAUAUGGAGGUGGACAGAGAGCAGCCCGUCCUUCUGACGUGCCAACCCAGCUGGAGACUCCCAGAAAUCCACCGUCUAUGUUCCGAUCCUUCCUGCAGUCUUACCUGUACGGGAAUGUGAGGCCCCGAUGGCCCACCAAGCAGCUUCUGCAGACAAAGUGGCUGGAGGGCACAACAGCAGCACCAGAACCUCUGCUGGCUCCCUCUCUUUCUGGACAAGAGGGUAAAGAAGAGGAAGUGGACAAUGAACCCGUGGCUGUUGUUGGAGCCGCAGAGCCUGAAGAAAUUAAAUCAGGCACAAACGUGACACCAGAACCUCUGCUGGCUCCCUCUGUUUCCGGACAAGACAUUAAAGAAGAGGAAGUGGACAAUGAACUUGUGGCUGUUGUUGGAGCUGCAGAGCCUGAAGAAAUUAAAUCAGUAAGUGCCAGAGUACAUUAGCAUUGCCU